CUUCAACGACCCCAACCACAACGGACGAUCCGCAUCCCGAUCCUGCCCGUACGUGGCAAGAAUCGCCUCGGCUUC
rnacentral:antisense_RNA from 1 species